UUUACUCAUAUUCUGCAACCCUCGUUACUGUUAGGAGUUACAUAUCUGGCAACCCAUGUGGGGGAUUUUAAACAGGGUACGUAGGUGAUAAUUAUUGAGGGAGAGAGAGAGAGAGAGAGAGAGAGAGAGAGAGAGAGAGAGAGGGACGAGUUGCAUGGGAAUUGAUAUAAACGUGCAGGAGGAGCUGCUUCAUUCCUCACGCUGUUCAAAAGUGAAAGUAAACUGUGGGAGCUACAAAGGACCGGAGGAAUUCCGGCGACUGGAACGUGGAACACACAGAGCCAGACAGACGGACACACAGACGGACACACAGACAGAAGGGUCUCACACUCUGGUGGUCUUAUCGAAUUGUAAUCAACUCAACGCAAAACAAUUCAGUGGAGACUCACAGUAAAAUGAGGAAAUGAGCUCUGAAAGUCACUACAUCAGCGUAAUGAAGGGGAAACUUCGGACCUUCUGGACUGUGAUGGCUGGAGUUUUUCUGACUGCAAGGGUGUGUGAUGCUGGAUGCAUUAAACACAGUUUUAAAGAACACAUUACUAAAAACUUAUUAGUGGAUCACUGGUUUCAGAUGAAGAAUUUUACCCCCACUGGAAAAGAGGUUACGGAACAGCAUGAGUUCCUCUCUGUCCUUAACACCAUCUGUUCAAGUCUGAUAAUAAACAAAGAAUUUAUCAUCUCAGAUCCUCUUAAAGGAGGUUCACAGGCCAGAGUCAUGUGGACUUACAUACAAAUGGUAAAAGCAUUGGUAAAUGGCAGUAAAAACUGGACUGAAAAUGACACUAUACAAUUUUGUAGUAAUUCCUGUUCUGAAUCUUAUGGCAUAAGUUUCAUCAACACAACACAGUUUGAGAAAAUCUAUAAAAAAGUGUGUGUACAGAGCGGAACAUUGCCAGAAUGUCCGCCUUCUCUCACAGAACAGCAGACGUCCUCUGGUGACGGAAAUACUUCAGAACUGUCCAAAACACGUGAUGUCCUGAAGUCAGGCCUGAUAGUGUCAGCAGUGGUGUCUAUCAUCGCCGUGAUCAUCAUCAUCACCGUCAUUAUCGUUGUCUUCUUCAAAUGCAGCAACAAUAACAAUCAGUGGGAGUAAAUACAAAGAGAAAAGAAGAGGGCCUAAAACUGAGUCUUGUGGGACCCCACAAGAGAGAGGAGCAGAGGAGGACUCAGAGUCACCACAAUUGACACAGAAAGUCCGACCGUCCAGGUAGGACCUAAACCAUUGAAGUGCUAUGCCCUUGAUGCCCACACACUGCUCCAACCAUGAGAUCAGGAUUUCGUGGUCCACAGUGUCAAACGCAGCAGUUAGACCAAGAAGCACAAGAAUAACACAAUCACCAGAGUCAGUAAAAAUAUAUCAUUACAAACUUUUAAAAGAACAGAUUCUGUGCUGUGCAAAGUUUUAAAGCCGGACUGGAAAAUCUCAAGAAUAUUGUGGGCUUUCAAAAAGGCCAUUAAUUGACUACAGACUAUCUUUUCAAGAUUUUUUGAAAGAAAAGGUAGUUUGGAGAUAGGCCUGAAAUUUGCAAGAUCUGUAGGAUCCAGACCAGGUUUUUUAAUCAGAGGUUGCACUACUGCGUGUUUAAACUUUUUUGGAACCACACCUGAAGACAGACUGCUAUUAACCACUGCAAGAACAGAUGGCUAUAUAGACUGAAGAUUGAUCUGAGGACAAGCAACAGAAGCUAGAGUGAGCAAAUUUUCUGAGUUCAAAGAAACAGCAUUAGGAAUGACUGAAUGUGUGAGAGGAAAUACAUCAGUGACCACAUUGUGUACCUGUUCAGGUGUAAAUCUUCAGCUGAUUAUUAAUGUGUUUGUUGAUGUUCAUUAUUGUUUCAGCUCCACCUCUCUGAAACACCUCAUGAUAUAAUGUGUGUGCUAAAGGAAUUAGCUGAGUUUCUAAAGGAAUUAGCUGCUAAAGGAAUUAGAGCUUUAGAAAUUUAUCUUCAAGCCUCACGCUGUGUUUAACUGAGUUUCUGAGUUUUACAGCAGUUAUUUUUAUCUGCACAUUAAUAUCAUGUAGAGUGAAACUGUACAUUUAUCAUUUUCAGGCAUCUGUUAAUCAGGAGUCAACACAUCUACAGGAUCCUAACACAGAGAAUAUGAGCCAGGAGCAGAAUAAUGAGAGACCUGAAGAGGGUACUUCAAGUGUAGUUUAGGGUAAUUUGCUGGAUGCAUCAUGAAUAAACCAACAGUCUACUGAGUGCUGGACAUAACUGCAGUGUGCAGUGAAGGGGAUUAAAGUAAUAAUCACUGUAUUAAUGGCAGCUGAAUUAUGGACUGGAGCAGUAAAUUAAAAUCCUGUAUUUAAAUAAGUGACUCUACCUGAGGGAGGACACUGUAGUAAGAGAAAGAUACAUGUGUGGAAUAUUGAAGACAAUCUCAAAGAAAUACUACAAACAGCGACUGUUGGUCCUAAGCAUCCUGGAGAAGAAACAUGCAACCUGCUUCAUUAUUUAAUGACUAAGUGAACUGUAAACAAAAUUGUAUAAUGUAUUUAACUUAAUUGCAUGUUAAUUGUUCGCAUCACCACACCUACACAUUCCACUCAGAUAUCAACAACCUGCAGCUAAUGAGAUACACACAGUUUCUGUUCAAUUCAUAAGCUAAUGUAUUGUGUAUAUAUAAAUGUAUAUAUAAAUGUAUAUAUAAAUGUAUAUAUAAAUGUGUGUGUGUGUGAGAGAGAGAGAGAGAGAGAGCGCGAGAGAGUGUGUGUGUGAGAGAGAAAAAGAGAGAGAGUGUGUGUGAGAGAGAAAGAGAGAGAGAGAGGGAGAGAGAAAUGAUGUUACUGUUGUAAAUUAACUUAGAAAAGAGAUAAAGAAACAUUUCACCUUUUCAACAAAUUUCAAUCUCCAUUUUAACAUUAAAGGUGUUAAAUGAUCGAA